UACGUAGGGGGCAAGCGUUGUCCGGAAUCAUUGGGCGUAAAGAGCGUGUAGGCGGCCCGAUAAGUCCGCCGUGAAAGUCCAGGGCUCAACCCUGGAAUGCCGGUGGAUACUGUCGGGCUAGAGUCCGGAAGGGGCGAGUGGAAUUCCUGGUGUAGCGGUGAAAUGCGCAGAUAUCAGGAGGAACACCGAUGGCGAAGGCAGCUCGCUGGGACGGUACUGACGCUGAGGCGCGAAAGCGUGGGGAGCAAACAGG
rnacentral:rRNA from 1 species